GAGCCCAUGUCGGCGUCACUGCGGCCCUGCGGCGCCCCCCUCAGUCUGGAGAACGACACUGAGCGACCAUCGGCCCACAUCCAGCGACCCGGACCUCCAGACAGACCUGAGGAACAACGAGGAAACUGAUCAGUGAUCAGCAGCGAGCAGGUCCUCUCGGCACUGGCCCAGCUCGCCACAGAUGAGCUGACGAUGUAACAGCGUCUCCUGUAGUGAGUCCAUCCGUCAGCACACGAGCUGCUCACCGACUUCCCCGUCUGAGGAGGCAACGAGAGAAUUAUCACAGCAGAAACAUCCGGCUGUCCAAACUACAACACCUCCGACCUCUCUCCGGGUGGUGUCGGGGUUCUGGAUGAUCCAUCUGAGGAGGAUCGUCGACGGGGGGCUCCUGCUGGAGGCGACUGUGAGGUGAGCGACUCCACCCGACGUCCCCUGGCUUCACCUCCUCCAGCCGGAGAGGAGUCAGACUGUGGAACUGAUGGAGGAGGACGAUCGUGACUGAAUAUACUGUUUUGGGGUGAACUAUUCCUUUAAGUAAAAGGAAAGUCUGACAUCAUCAUACAUGAGAAAACUGUGAGAAUAAAAUGUGAACUUUCUCACCGUCCAGACCUUCUCCUCAGCCCUCCUCUCUCCUGACACACGCACCUGAACACCAGCAGGAAGGCAAACACUCAAAUAUCAGUUCUGUGUUUUAGAUUCACACUGAAAAAAUAACACAUUAAUACACAUUAAAACAUUAAAACAAAUCAACAUGCAGGCUAACCGAAUCAGGUCUUGAUCUCUGCUGGUCUGUAAUGCAACAUGUAAACAAAGAGCUGAAGAUUAAGACGCUCUGAGGCCGUUUAUUGGUUGUUUUGGGUUUUUUAAAUCUGAAAUAUUGUUCAAUCUGACUUUGAACAUCAAAAUAAAAUUGUUCAAUACA